rnacentral:misc_RNA from 1 species
GAAAUGCGAUAAGUAAUGUGAAUUGCAGAAUUCAGUGAAUCAUCGAGUCUUUGAACGCACAUUGCGCUCCUUGGUAUUCCUUGGAGCAUGCCUGUUUGAGUAUCAUGAAAUCUUCAAAGUAAAUCUUUUGUUAACUCAAUUGGUUUCUACUUUGGUAUUGGAGGUCUUUGCAGCUUCACACCUGCUCCUCUUUGUUCAUUAGCUGGAUCUCAGUGUUAUGCUUGGUUCCACUCGGCGUGAUAAGUUAUCUAUCGCUGAGGACACUGUAAAAGGUGGCCAAGGUAAAUGCAGAUGAACCGCUUCUAAUAGUCCAUUGACUUGGACAAUACUUUUAUGAUCUGAUCUCAAAUCAGGUAGGACUACCCGCUGAACUUAAGC